AUUGAACGCUGGCGGCAGGCCUAACACAUGCAAGUCGAGCGAGCGGCGGACGGGUGAGUAAUGUAUGGGGACUGCCCGAUAGAGGGGGAUAACUACUGGAAACGGUAGCUAAUACCGCAUACUAUCGGAUAACCCAUAUGGGAUUAGCUAGUGGGUGGGGUAAUUGCUCACCUAGGAGACGAUCCCCAGCUGGUCUGAGAGGAUGAUCAGCCCCACUGGGACUGAGAAACGGCCCGGACUCCUACGGAGGCAGAAGUGGGGAAUAUUGGACAAUGGGCGCAAGCCUGAUGCGGCAAUGCCGCGUGUAUGAAGAAGGCCCUAGGGUUGUAAAGUACUUUCAGUCGGGAGGCGUUACCUACAGAAGAAGCACCGGCUAACUCCGUGCCAGCCGCCGCGGUAAUUC
rnacentral:rRNA from 1 species